rnacentral:rRNA from 1 species
AGUGAACGCUGGCGGUAGGCCUAACACAUGCAAGUCGAACGGCAGCACAGUAAGAGCUUGCUCUUACGGGUGGCGAGUGGCGGACGGGUGAGGAAUACAUCGGAAUCUACUUUUUCGUGGGGGAUAACGUAGGGAAACUUACGCUAAUACCGCAUACGACCUACGGGUGAAAGCAGGGGAUCUUCGGACCUUGCGCGAUUGAAUGAGCCGAUGUCGGAUUAGCUAGUUGGCGGGGUAAAGGCCCACCAAGGCGACGAUCCGUAGCUGGUCUGAGAGGAUGAUCAGCCACACUGGAACUGAGACACGGUCCAGACUCCUACGGGAGGCAGCAGUGGGGAAUAUUGGACAAUGGGCGCAAGCCUGAUCCAGCCAUACCGCGUGGGUGAAGAAGGCCUUCGGGUUGUAAAGCCCUUUUGUUGGGAAAGAAAAGCAGCAGGUUAAUACCCCGCUGCUCUGACGGUACCCAAAGAAUAAGCACCGACUAACUUCGUG